AGCAGCCGCGGUAAUUCCGGCUCCAAUAGCGUAUAUUAAAGUUGCUGCAGUUAAAAAGCUCGUAGUUGAAUUUCGGGGUCAAUAUGUUGGUCGUGCCUUGGUACGUACUAGCUUAUUGAUUUCUCCUUUCUGACGAACCAUGAUGUCAUUAAUUUGGUGUCAUGGGGAAUCAGGACUGUUACUUUGAAAAAAUUAGAGUGUUUAAAGCAGGCUCGCGCUUGAAUACAUUAGCAUGGAAUAAUGAAAUAGGACAUUUGAUUCUAUUUUGUUGGUUUCUAGGAUCGAUGUAAUGAUUAAUAGGGAUAGUUGGGGGCAUUAGUAUUCAAUUGUCAGAGGUGAAAUUCUUGGAUUAUUGAAGACUAACUACUGCGAAAGCAUUUGCCAAGGAUGUUUUCAUUAAUCAAAAACGAAGUUAGGGGAUCGAAGACGAUCAGAUACCGUCGUAGUCUUAACCAUAAACUAUGCCGAGCCU
rnacentral:rRNA from 1 species